GGCGACCACCCUUUCUGUUGGGGCCUCCACGGAUCAGGCCCGUCCCCUUAGCUUGGCUUUCCAGAAGCAGCCAGUUUGAUUUUAUAUUCUUAAGGAAGCACAAGGAAGAAGCAGAGAGAAGGCAUUGUUUACUAGAGAGCUGUGACCAGGUUCCCACUCACCCUUGCCUGCACCUGAAGCAUGACUGGAUCCUUACCAGAAACCCUGCCUUUCCUCUCCAGUAUAAAAGAAGACAGUAUUAACUU